AUUGAACGCUGGCGGCAGGCUUAACACAUGCAAGUCGAGCGGGGAAGGUUGCUUCGGUAACUGACCUAGCGGCGGACGGGUGAGUAAUGCUUAGGAAUCUGCCUAUUAGUGGGGGACAACAUUCCGAAAGGGAUGCUAAUACCGCAUACGCCCUACGGGGGAAAGCAGGGGAUCUUCGGACCUUGCGCUAAUAGAUGAGCCUAAGUCGGAUUAGCUAGUUGGUGGGGUAAAGGCCUACCAAGGCGACGAUCUGUAGCGGGUCUGAGAGGAUGAUCCCACAAACUGGGACUGAGGCACGGCCCAGACUCCUACGGGAGGCAGCAGUGGGGAAUAUUGGACAAUGGGCGGAAGCCUGAUCCAGCCAUGCCGCGUGUGUGAAGAAGGCCUUUUGGUUGUAAAGCACUUUAAGCGAGGAGGAGGCUACUAGUACUAAUACUACUGGAUAGUGGACGUUACUCGCAGAAUAAGCACCGGCUAACUCCGUGCCAGCCGCCGCCGUAAUAC
rnacentral:rRNA from 1 species